CGAUGCCAGAAAAAUGCAUGGCAAUGUUAAUAGACCAGUGGGGCCGAAUGACAGUCACAUAGGUGUUUGUCCCUCACUGUGGCUGAGCGGAGUGGAUUGUUGAAAAGUCUGAGAUUUGGCCACAGUGUGAAGCUCAGCAGGGCCUGGAGCUCGGGGAGCACAGAGUAGACAGUAGACCACCUCCAUGUUCCCACACAGCUGAGCCCAUGGUGCUCCGAGCACUCAAGAUUGGAUGCUGGGUGCCCAUUCAUCUUUGCUAUAAACGUGGACUGAUCUAUGACUCCCAGGGACUACAGAGGCCUCCUUCACACCAGCACCCUCUCUGGCUAAGGCAACAGGGCAAAUAUGCUGAAGGUAAAUUUGUGUUUGCACCUAAGGCACCUCUGGAAGAUGGGCCUCUUUUUAUCCUUGGGUGCUAACAAUUGAACAACUGGAGUUCCUAGAGUGAUGUUCUCCUUACUCACUGUUUAUGUGGAGGAACGAAGCCUUGUGAAUGAUGAAGUUAGGAAACUUCAUCUUAUUAUUGCAUCAUGAGAACAAAUGCCUGUGUUUGCACCCAAUAGGAAUCAACUCCAGCCAGUGGUACAGGAAAAGCAAUUGCUUUACCCAAAUCUGGAGGUGAAAGUUGAGAUCUGUAAUUCACCCCGUGGAACGUGGUCCUAAAAAGAAUCCCAGUAGGAAGGUGAAGUUCAUAAGUUAUGGAAGUGCAAGAGGGGAGUCAGCCAGUGUCUGACAAGAUUCUUACGUGUUUUAGUGAAAAACACCAGAUUUAAAACGAGUUAAUCUGCCCCACAUGGUUUUCUCCGUCUUAUUCAUUUUGAUUGCUUCUAUCUUCUGUAAUAUAGGCAAAACAAAACUAUUAUCAAUUAUAUAUAAAACAAGGUGAACUUAUAAAACCUCAGUGUAAAAUUACCUUUGUGCCUAAUUUAGCCUCUCCUACUCACUCUGUGGAGGGAACAGCUCUUCCAUUCUAUGUUAGCCAUGGUGACAAUGACUUUUCCAACCUCUCUACCUCUCACCUUCUUUCCAUUUUCACAAGAUGGUGUGCAAAGGACACUGGAAUUGCAGCGGGUUGAGCUUCCAGAAACAACUCACCAGAAUCUGUAAUUUGUUGCAAGGCAGUCUACAACAAAUUAAUCUAAGAUACAACUUAAAAGUCUUCUAUGUCCUCCAUAAAGUAUAGAGAAUGGUUAACACGUUAUUCGCUUUGAUGAAACAGAAUUGUUCACGAACCACAGAAAAGAUUUCUACCAGAUGUCUCUUUGAUAAGAUCACAAGUGUUAAGUAAUGUGGUGACUUCUAAUAGGUUGACAAUUGCAGCUUAAAUUUCAUAAGAUCUCGGGGGGAACCUCUGUGACUGAGAUCAGGGCCAGUG